rnacentral:rRNA from 1 species
GUCUUUUUGUAAGUAUAAAAAGUCCSGUCUGCCCACUGAUGAGAAUAUUAAAGGGCCGCAGUAUUUUAACUGUGCAAAGGUAGCAUAAUCACUAGUUCUUUAAUUGAGAUCUUGAAUGAAUGAUUAGACAAAAAAAUUACUGUCUUUAUAAUAAUAAUUGAAUUUAACUUUUAAGUGAAAAGGCUUAAAUAGUUUGAAGUGACGAUAAGACCCUAUAAAGCUUAAUAUUAUUAUAAAAUUUUUGGUAAGUUAAAUAUAAAGGUUUAAGGUUUAUUAAUAUUUUAUUGGGGCGAUAGAAGUAAAAGGCUUAAUAACUGCUUUUUUUUUAAUCAAGUAUAAGUGAUUAAUAUAUAAAUGAUCUUAUUUUAUAGAGUAAAAGAUUAAGUUACUUUAGGGAUAACAGCGUUAUUUUUCUUGAGAGUUCUUAUCGAAAGAAAAGAUUGCGACCUCGAUGUUGAAUUAAAAUAUCUAUAUAAUUGUAGUAGUUAUAUGAGAAGGUCUGUUCGACCUUUAAAUUUUUACGUGAUUUGAGUUCAGACCGGUUUAAACCAGGUCGGUUUCUAUCUUUUAAUUAGAUUGUAAUUAUUU